ACGUGACCGGAACGGCACACCCGAGCGCAUCAAAGCGCUUCAGCGUCCUCCCCACAAUCCCCUUUGCUUCGCACGGCGGGCAGGAAUUCCCCCGGCAUCAACGCAACGCGGCCGGUAAGGCGCUCUGCCCCGCGGACCGCGGUGCGCGCAGCGCUGUGCGUGCGGCGGCCGGAGGUGGAGCGGCGCCGCCCCGCCGUGACCCCGCAGCGCACCGCACCGCCUUCCGCAGAGCCACCGCUGCCCUCCGCCGACGCCAUCCAAACGACGGCAAUCGGUCGGUCGGUCGGUCGUCCGUGUCGUUCCACUGCAGCACGUGGAUGCUUCCAGCUCUCAGCCAUCCCGUCUUUCUACCCUUGGCAGUGCCCGUGCGCUACCCGCGCGGUGAUUUCCAUCCCAUUCCCACCAGCCCGGCGCCACUUCAUGGCCACGAUGGCAGCGCUUUAUUUCUGCGGGCGGGCAUGGCUGAAACUGGAGAGAAAAGUGGUAGCAGAGCCAAAGGACCUCACCUUUUAUCUCUCUGGGGACGGCACUGACUGACUGCCAGGAUUUACGACUCUCCUGCAUCUUGUACAAUGACUAAGCCUUCUAUUGCUCCUAGAUAAACAAAGAGAAGGCAGAGAGAAGUCUGCACAGCUUCUGAAGAGCACCCACAGCUCCUGCUGCAAAGAGCUGGGCGGAAAGCCAGCACUCUGGUUUCCCACCCUUCCUUCCCUUGUCCUUGAGUCAAGAGACGAUCCCCCAAAGACCCAGGAGGGUCUGGUGGGAAAGAGGAUACAGCGUGUGGAGGUUGGAGGCUGGAGCAGGGCUGUGUUUACUCUCCCAAAUCUUCAGCUAAAGAGGGCAAGUCAUGUUUCUUGGAGUGCUAAGAGUACUUGCAGUCCUUAGAGGAAACAUGCAUGACUAUUCUCUGGUCUGCGAGAUCAUUCUCUGGUAGUUGUCUCCCAUUGCUAUCACAAGACUGGAAUUUGGACUGGAUGACCUUUGUAGGUCUUUUCCAACCUUGGUGAUUCUAUGAUUCCAAGUCACACUGAUGUUUCAGAUACAAUGAAUUAAUUCUGAUCCAUAAAGCAGAGUGUUGGAACCUCAUGAGAGAACAUCACAAGUUGUAAAAUGCAUUUUCCUUUCUGGGAACCUCAACAUUCUGCUCACGUUUUCAUCUCUGCUACUUAGUUCAGCAGGAAAUAUCAGAAAGACACAGCCAGUUGUUCAGAAAAAUGCAGUGAUUGCAAAGAGAUGGUUCAUUCUGCACUCCGUGUCCUCUUGGUAGGUCUUCAAAUAGGAAAUUUGUACUCCCUUCAA